rnacentral:lncRNA from 1 species
UAUUUGUUUGAUCUCCGCCUUCCUCUAUCGUUCCUUAGAGCGCAGUCUAACUUUAAGUAUCAGAAAGCCCGAUUGGAUUAGCUCCGGCCAUCUUUAAGUUCUGUUUCUUUUCGUGUGCAAGACAACAGUCAUUGCCCAAAUCUUCUUUCCUUCCGAGCAUAGAUCCGUUAGCAGCCUCGUGUCCAUCAAAUCGGAUUUUAGGGCAAUGGAUUAGCAAUUUCUAAAGAAAAGAAAAGAAAAAAAACAAUUUCUAA